GACGAACGCUGGCGGCGUGCUUAACACAUGCAAGUCGAACGGAAAGGCCCUGCUUUUGUGGGGUGCUCGAGUGGCGAACGGGUGAGUAACACGUGAGUAACCUGCCCUUGACUUUGGGAUAACUUCAGGAAACUGGGGCUAAUACCGGAUAGGAGCGCCUGCUGCAUGGUGGGGGUUGGAAAGUUUCGGCGGUUGGGGAUGGACUCGCGGCUUAUCAGCUUGUUGGUGGGGUAGUGGCUUACCAAGGCUUUGACGGGUAGCCGGCCUGAGAGGGUGACCGGCCACAUUGGGACUGAGAUACGGCCCAGAGUCCUACGGGAGGCAGCAGUGGGGAAUAUUGCACAAUGGGCGGAAGCCUGAUGCAGCAACGCCGCGUGCGGGAUGACGGACUUCGGGUUGUAAACAGCUUUAGCCUGUGACGAAGCGUGAGUGACGGUAAUGGGUAAAGAAGCACCGGCUAACUACGUG
rnacentral:rRNA from 1 species